AAACCGCUUAGGGGUUAAGCCCGAUGAACCCGAAUAUCUGAUGUGAGAAAUUCAAUGCGAUUCAAAUUCAUAUUUUUAUAUUGAAUUUGGAUAGUAUGCACUUUUCUCAUAGUAAGACAUUGUAAUCCAUUGAUAAUAUAUCUCAUUUUGGGAUGAUUUAACAUACGGACAAAAUGUUUAUGAUUAUUCUAUCAGUGAUAUGUUUACAUGUCAUAUGAAUAAAAUCGUUUUGUUUCCUGUUUAAAUAGUCGAUGGAUUUUUCAUUGAAAUCAUGCUUGCAAUUUAUUUUGCGUUUCGUAUCAAUAAUUUUUAAUUGUUGAUAGCAGAAAUGGCAUGUAUUCGAUUAACAAUGCGAUAGAUUUGGGAUGCCUUCGGGACCCGUCUUGAAACACGGACCAAGGAGUCUAACAUAUGUGCAAGUCAUUGAGUAUUUUGUUGAAACUUAAUGGCGAAAUUAAAAUGACCAUAUUUUUAAUUUGGGAUCACAAGUAAUGUUCAAAUUUAUGCAUUAUUUUUCAAUCCCGGGGCGUUCUAUACGAACAUGAUGUAAGCAAUUAUGUCCUCUGUUCAAGAGCGUACCUUGAGCACAUAUGCUGU
rnacentral:rRNA from 1 species